rnacentral:lncRNA from 1 species
UUCGAGCAUACACUAUUCAAUCUUCUCCAGCACGAUACUCUUGAUUGCUUCCAGCACAAGCUAUCAUCUUCGUUAGUAGGGAACUACAAACAGUAACAUGAUUGGUACAAGGUAUUACAUAGUCAGUUGGCAGUGCAUCUCAAGAACCUGUUCCACAAUAGUUUGGUCAGAAGCAAGAAUCGGCCAGGACAUAAGUCAGCCUAGGGAACAAAAUGGUUAGCUACACAUACUUACAUAUAUUGUGGGCAUGCUCCCUAGGUCAUGCAAGCCACCCGUACGAUGACGCAAGCGCAUUGAGAAUCCGAUAGCUACAUGAGUUAUGGAAGCCAGUUAUACACCUCGGUAUGAUGCAAGAUUGACAAGCUAUGAAGAAAGGUCACAUUGGGACACCAAUCUUGUCAGUAGUUAUCAAGGCCAGCUAAACAUAUUGACUUCAGUGACCGUGUUGAAGCAUCACACGACCUACUACCCACAUAUGGGUAUACCGGCAGAAUGGGUACCCGACGGGAUGAUAACCUGCCAUGGACUAGAUUAUUUUGAGCUCGUUGUUCAUGAUUUGAGCUUGUUGUUCAUCCCGUCGGACACCUGGAUGGUUUAUCCAAACGGGUUGAAACUUUUUGUCUAGUGGGAAUCUUUGUGAAGGAAGUACCAUCCAGGUGUAUCCAAACGGGUUGAAACUUUUUGUCCAAAAUAUUCCUCAAUAAUUUUUGUGAGUUUGUGUCCAG